AUUGAACGCUGGCGGCAGGCCUAACACAUGCAAGUCGAGCGGCAGCGGGAAAGUAGCUUGCUACUUUUGCCGGCGAGCGGCGGACGGGUGAGUAAUGCCUGGGAAAUUGCCCAGUCGAGGGGGAUAACAGUUGGAAACGACUGCUAAUACCGCAUACGCCCUACGGGGGAAAGCAGGGGACCUUCGGGCCUUGCGCGAUUGGAUAUGCCCAGGUGGGAUUAGCUAGUUGGUGAGGUAAUGGCUCACCAAGGCGACGAUCCCUAGCUGGUCUGAGAGGAUGGUCAGCCACACUGGAACUGAGACACGGUCCAGACGCCGACGGGAGGCAGCAGUGGGGAAUAUUGCACAAUGGGGGAAACCCUGAUGCAGCCAUGCCGCGUGUGUGAAGAAGGCCUUCGGGUUGUAAAGCACUUUCAGCGAGGAGGAAAGGUUGAUGCCUAAUACGUAUCAACUGUGACGUUACUCGCAGAAGAAGCACCGGCUAACUCCGUGCCAGCCGCCGCAGUAAAAC
rnacentral:rRNA from 1 species